GCCGGGUGUGGUGGCACGCACCUGUGAUCCCAGCUACUUGGGAGGCUGAGGCAGGAGAAUCCCUUGAACCCAGGAGGUGGAGAUUGUAGUGAGCUGAGACAGCACCACUGCACUCCCGCCUGGGUGACAGAGUGAGACUCUGUCUCAA
rnacentral:SRP_RNA from 1 species